AAUAUACGUGUUUUUUUACCAACUACUUUACACAAUAGUGUCAUGGCACUGUACACUCAACAAAACUUUAAAACGUUGAAAACAAACUAUAGAUUUACCACCCGAAAAUAGUCCUAUACUGUAUACAGUACAAUGCAAAUCAGCUGUUCUUUGUCUGACUUUAGUUUUUUUAACUAAAACUAUCUACACUGUUUAGUUAAAACUCAAAAAAUGUAUUUUAUGACUGUCAGAAAGACUGCAGCUGGAGGAGACGACGCUAAGUUUCACUUUCAGUUUCCGGCGGAGUGAUUAAACUGGCGCACCGCUGAUGGAAAAAGAGAAAAACAACGGCGAGACGUCAUUCAUUCAUUAAUUACAACCACCUGUGGGAAAAAGUCGGCGUCUUGACCAAACAAAGGGAAGGCAGCAGGACAGAGGUGAAACACAAGAACUCAGCUCAAGGAUCAACCAAAGGACGCCACUGGUUAUCAACCUAUAUAUCUUCUAUCUGUCUGAGAUGUAUUGCAUAAUUAAGCAAAUAUUUGGAUGAAGACUGAAAAUCAAACAGACAAGAAGAUUGAGUUGUCCCUUUGCAUCUUUUAUGAGUGAUCCAGGCCAUUUUCAAGUUUGGACAGAGCUGGCCUACUAGAGGACAUUGAAGCCAAUACAGCCGAUGGAGAGGAGGCAGAACUGGGCAAACGACAGGAGGCCAACCUGGAGAAACCAAUCAAUGACUGUGAGACGAGAUUGGAUGAGGUCCGCAGAAUAGUUCAAACCAACCUGUGGUCAAGAUAUGGACAAGAUGAACUGCAAGCUGCAAUCUGGGAAGCAGAGGGAGCUUGUGAUGAUGUUACUGCAAUACUGGUCUCUGCUGUGAAUUGGGAUGGCUAUGAGAUGCAACUGACUUUCAUGUUGAAGCUGGUCCAGGGGGCAACUAAAAGCCUAGCAGCGUGGGAGAUGUGGAUUCCAGCAACAGAAAAAGCUGAUCUAGAAGGCCAGGUGAUGUUUUUAAUAGGCCUCAGGACUUGGAGAUUAUGCCAGACUUCCCUCUCGCUCCUCCACACACACACACACACACACACACACACACACACUGUAAUGUUUGCAUCGAAAAUAAAAAUAAAUUGCCUAUCUAUUUAACUUGUAUCUAUGUGAUGUUUUUUAAUUAGUAUAAUGAAGUUACCCCUAAACACUAUCAAUUCAGACUCGUGUGCAGUCCCACUUUUGUAAUACCACCUGCCAUGUUAUAAUUUUUUCUCUAUGUGGCCUGUGGACUGCAGCCGUGUAACCUUGUAAGACGGAGUAAAGAUAUCUGUAAUUUGAGAUGACUUUGUUUUUACCUCGUGUUACAACAAUAACUAAGAUAAGAUAUCGUAUGCAUCGGGGGGAAAUUGAAUCAAAAAGAGUCAAAUAAACUGUUGCAUUUGUUUUAUUCAAUUGUGCUGUACAGAUGAAUUGAACCUGAGAAUAAACAUGCCAAACCAAUGCAUA